UUUCUUCGGGGCAGGGUGAGAUUCCCGACCGACGGUGAUGUAUCAUGAUUGGUGAUAUGUAAGUCCGUGAACUGCCAUUUCUGGUAGCCGAUCCGGUGUGAAUCCGGAACCGACAGUAAAGUCUGGAUGGAAGAAGAA
rnacentral:ncRNA from 1 species